rnacentral:lncRNA from 1 species
AAUCACCGACCCAAGAUAUCUGACACUGUCCCUCUUGGCGAUGACCUGAGAUCCAAUCAUCACGUCCCUACCUACUUCGCUCGGCUCGACGCUAAACUUGCACUCCAGGUAUUCUGUCUUAGAUCUGCUUAUUAUGAAACCCUUAGACUCGAGAGUCUGUCUCCAUACCUCUAACCUCUCAAUAACACUGACCCUCGUCUUGUGUAUCAAGAUUAUUUCGUCAGCAAAUAGCAUACACCAAAGCACAUCCCCUUGAAUAUGUCGGGUUAGAGCGUCCAUCACCAAGGCAAACAAGAGAGGGCUAAGCGCCGAUCCUUGAUGGAGCCCCAUAAUCACUGAAAAAUGGUCCUGAAGAUCGCAUUGAACAACCUGGAGAGCCACUCCACUCUUGACCUACCCAUGCACUUCCAGAACUCCACCAGGAUCUCGUCAGGCCCGGUCGCUCGACCCCUACUCAUCCUACGCAAAGCCCCCAUGACCUCCUCNNN